UACGUAGGGGGCUAGCGUUGUCCGGAAUCAUUGGGCGUAAAGCGCGCGUAGGCGGCCCGGUAAGUCCGCUGUAAAAGUCAAAGGCUCAACCUUUGAAUGUCAGUGGAUACUGCCGGGCUAGAGUCCGGAAGAGGCGAGUGGAACUCCUGGUGUAGCGGUAGAAUGCGCAGAUAUCAGGAAGAACACCUAUGGCGAAGGCAGCUCUCUGGGACGGUACUGACGCUGAGACGCGAAAGCGUGGGGAGCGAACAGG
rnacentral:rRNA from 1 species